rnacentral:rRNA from 2 species
UUUGCGUCGAAGGUAUACCGGUAAGGAGUGCUGGAGCGAAUAGAAGUGAGCAUGCAGGCAUGAGUAGCGAUAAUUAAUGUGAGAAUCAUUAACGCCGUAAACCCAAGGUUUCCUACGCGAUGCUCGUCAUCGUAGGGUUAGUCGGGUCCUAAGUCGAGUCCGAAAGGGGUAGACGAUGGCAAAUUGGUUAAUAUUCCAAUACCAACAUUAGUGUGCGAUGGAAGGACGCUUAGGGCUAAGGGGGCUAGCGGAUGGAAGUGCUAGUCUAAGGUCGUAGGAGGUUAUACAGGCAAAUCCGUAUAACAAUACUCCGAGAACUGAAAGGCUUUUUGAAGUCUUCGGAUGGAUAGAAGAACCCCUGAUGCCGUCGAGCCAAGAAAAGUUUCUAAGUUUAGCUAAUGUUGCCCGUACCGUAAACCGACACAGGUGGGUGGGAUGAGUAUUCUAAGGCGCGUGGAAGAACUCUCUUUAAGGAACUCUGCAAAAUAGCACCGUAUCUUCGGUAUAAGGUGUGGUUCGCUUCGUAUUAGGAUUUACUCCGAAAGCGAAGAAACUUACAACAAAGAGUCCCUCCCGACUGUUUACCAAAAACACAGCACUCUGCUAACUCGUAAGAGGAUGUAUAGGGUGUGACGCCUGCCCGGUGCUCGAAGGUUAAUUGAUGGGGUUAGCAUUAGCGAAGCUCUUGAUCGAAGCCCGAGUAAACGGCGGCCGUAACUAUAACGGUCCUAAGGUAGCGAAAUUCCUUGUCGGUUAAAUACCGACCUGCAUGAAUGGCGUAACGAGAUGGGAGCUGUCUCAAAGAGGGAUCCAGUGAAAUUGUAGUGGAGGUGAAAAUUCCUCCUACCCGCGGCAAGACGGAAAGACCCCGUGGACCUUUACUACAGCUUGACACUGCUACUUGGAUAAGAAUGUGCAGGAUAGGUGGGAGGCUUUGAGUAUAUGACGCCAGUUGUAUAUGAGCCAUUGUUGAGAUACCACUCUUUCUUAUUUGGGUAGCUAACCAGCUUGAGUUAUCCUCAAGUGGGACAAUGUCUGGUGGGUAGUUUGACUGGGGCGGUCGCCUCCCAAAUAAUAACGGAGGCUUACAAAGGUUGGCUCAGAACGGUUGGAAAUCGUUCGUAGAGUAUAAAGGUAUAAGCCAGCUUAACUGCAAGACAUACAAGUCAAGCAGAGACGAAAGUCGGUCUUAGUGAUCCGGUGGUUCUGUGUGGAAGGGCCAUCGCUCAAAGGAUAAAAGGUACCCCGGGGAUAACAGGCUGAUCUCCCCCAAGAGCUCACAUCGACGGGGAGGUUUGGCACCUCGAUGUCGGCUCAUCGCAUCCUGGGGCUGGAGCAGGUCCCAAGGGUAUGGCUGUUCGCCAUUUAAAGCGGUACGCGAGCUGGGUUCAGAACGUCGUGAGACAGUUCGGUCCCUAUCUGCCGUGGGCGUAAGAAGAUUGAAGAGAUUUGACCCUAGUACGAGAGGACCGGGUUGAACAAACCACUGGUGUAGCUGUUGUUCUGCCAAGAGCAUCGCAGCGUAGCUAAGUUUGGAAAGGAUAAACGCUGAAAGCAUCUAAGCGUGAAGCCAACUCUAAGAUGAAUCUUCUCUAAGCUCUCUAGAAGACUACUAGUUUGAUAGGCUGGGUGUGUAAUGGAUGAAAGUCCUUUAGCUGACCAGUACUAAUAGAGCGUUUGGCUUAUCUUUAAUAAAGCAU